AUGGUGCUGUCAGCUCUCCCUCCGCUCCCGAGUGCUUCAGCCAUCACAAGGAUGUUCCACCGCCUCCCUGAUCCUCCCCUGCAGGUCCCCUGGCUGCUGGACAUGGUGGUGUCCCGGGUGGCAGAGGUGGCCUCCCUGACACUCUCUGGCCGGGUCAUCGUCUUUCCUGAGUUUAAGUUGGAGUUUAUCCACAAACCACCUCCCAGGAAACCAUCCAAGGCAUCCAGGGAAGUGCCUGGUGAGGGCAAGAUGGAGAAAGAAGAGGGUUUGGGUGUGCCACCUCUUGGCCGGGACAAGAAAGGGCCAGGAAAGAUCCCUGAGCAGCCAUCCUUACAUGGCCGACGGAGCACUGCCCAUAGAGGAGGCACAGGUUCUUUUCCCAAAACAAGGGUGGAGCAGAAGAAGAGCUCUGUGCCCAGUCAAGUUCCAGCGCUCCCGGCGGUGUCUUCACCCAAAAAGAUGGCUGUGCCCAGCAAAACCCAGAGUGAAGGCACGACCAAAAGCACUGCACCACCCACGGGUCCAGCACGGGCAAUAAAACCCCACAGGUGCACAGAGGAACAAGGUGCGGUGAGGCCGGCACUGAGCAGCCAAGGUCAGCACAAGCUGACAGCACAAAGUAAAGCAGCAGAGCCAGGCCGCACUCGUGGAGUGGAACCUCAGAGCUGCCAGGAAGGAAGAGGAGCAGCAAAGCCGGUGCUGAGCAGCAAAAGUGAUGGGAAACACACAGCCAGAGCUCCAGCACAAGGCUUGGGUCGGGCUCAGGCUGCUGGAGCUCAGUGGGUCAGAAAACAAGCAGUGAAGCCAGCACUGAGCAGCCAGCUUCAGGGCAAAGUCAUCACCAAAGGGAAGGCUCCAGAAAUACGUCCAGCACAGCCUCAGAGUUUGAAAGAAGAAAGAGGGGUGGUGAGACCGGCACCAAUGAGUCAGUUUGUGGGCAAAUCCAUAGCCAAAGCUCCAGUACCAAAGGCAGGUGGAGCCCAGGCAGUGCAGUCUCAGAGCAUCAGAGAAGGACGAGGAGCAGAGAAAACCCUCAGUGAUGGCAGAGUGCCGGAGGCAAACAAGGCGGAGCUGAGUGGCCCUCAUGCAGCCCGGCCUCCAUGGAUAAUACCCAAGAUAGUGAUUGAAUCGCCAUCGAGCUCUGAGGGCAGCCUGCCUGGGAAGCCCGUCUACGACAGAUCCCUUUUGAUGCCACCACCACUCAGCUUCAAGCGCCAACAACGGUCCCGAGACAGGGCACAAAAGAGAAAACAAUCGGCCUUGUGAGCGUGGGGGUGCAUGGAAGGCUAUUGGAGCGAGAUGAACAGCAGGUGGAAGCAAGGCUGAGAACCAAGGGCAUCUCUAGAAGAGGAGGAGAGCAAAAGGAACGGCUCCUGGCUCCGGCUGGAUGAGCUCCUGCAUGCCUGCAUGCUUAGGGACUGCUUGUGGAAUGAAGGAGGGG
rnacentral:lncRNA from 1 species